AUGGAGAAGCCAAAGCUGAGGAAGAGGAACCAGCCACAGAAGAACCUGAACAGAAAGAAGAUGCGGCAGAAUAACAUCUCUCGAACCACAUCUUUUAUCACUGCUCCCUAUUCCUCUUUUUCUUGUACAAUUCAGGGGAAUAUUUUUAUUGACUAUUUUCUAAAUGCAAGUUUUUUUAGUAGUUUGAUUGUAGAAACACAUUUUUUUAUGAAACAAAAAAUACAUUUGGAGACGGAUUUCAUUACAUCCCACAUUUUUACAUCUCCGGAACAAUUACGGUUAUUGUAAAUGUCAAAGGUUUUUAUUUUUGCCGUGGGGAAGGGGUGGGAAUGGGCCAGGUUGCUGCAUCAAGAACAUGCAAGCACGUUGUUUACAGGAUCCGGUCAAAACAGAGAGCUUGCCUGAGAGACUAACAUUCCAUAGGCUAUAUGAGGGACGGUAUUUGUAACCUGUGUGGUGGGGAUGAAUUACUCAAGGGGCAACACAGUUUUAUUGUUUAUAAUGAGAAAUGUUUUAGAAUGUUGUAAGCUGUUUUCCAUAUGUUAACUAUUGUACUCAUGGCAUUUUUUUUAUUAACCAUUCUGCUUAAUAAACCUAUUCCCUAGCACUGGAGUUCCUCCCUAUCAGGCCUGUGCAUUGCGUGUAAUUGGUUUUGUCUCUGUUCUGUGAUAGCAUUGCAAUAAAUGUGUACAGCUGCUGUUUAAAAGGGGUUUCAAACUUUCUAUAUGCAGUGUGUAAUGGUACAUUGUAAAUGAAAUUCUGUGUUCUUAGCCAAGCUAAUGACAUAAGUGUGAAACAUACUGUUGACUAUGGUUCCUUUUGAUGCUGAGAAACUGUACAUCCACUUGAGCUGUCAAAUACACAAACCAGCAAUAUUCAUGUGGGUUUUAAGUAUCAAGUGUACAGUUCUUGUAUUCUUUGUUUAUAGAUGUAUCUGUGUCAUGAUUGGUAUAAACAAACCAAUAAAAAUGUGGUUGUAAUCGUUUGCUCUCUUCUCAUUGUGUGACAAAUAGUGAUGUGUGAAUCCAAACAAUCAUGUAAAUACUACAGUAUUUUAGAUAUGAUUGUCCACAAAUGCAUUAGCUAAAGAGAAACAUGUCAGUUCUGAGACUGGCAACAGCUAGUAUCUGUCCUCGAUGUGAAUAAUAACAAAUACAUUUAAAGAGCAUCUGCCACUAAAGAAAUGUCUAGUUUUGAAAGCGGCCUUUGUGGCAUCCGAGUCAACUUUCUAGUGUCAAAAUUGACUACCACUUGAAUAGUACAGUUUUUGUAAUCAAGUCAGUCUUGUCCAAAAUGGAAUGAAGGUUACUGUUAGUCUUCCCUGGGUUGGGUUAAUUUCAAUCCUGUCCACAGCAGCACCCAAGUAAUCAUACAUUUGGAGCGCAGCUGCACUUUGGUUUGACAUUUGAUAUCGCUAUGUAAGGGACCAUCAGUAAAUUGUCAAUAGCUCCACAUUUCAAUGACAAGAAACCAAGUAGAAAUGUAUAAUUAAAUAUACUGCUCAAAAAAUAAAGGGAACACAUCCUAGAUCUGAAUGAAAGAAAUCAUCUUAUUAAAUACUUUUUUCUUUACAUAGUUGAAUGUGCUGACAACAAAAUCACACAAAAAUAAUCAAUGGAAAUCCAAUUUAUCAACCCAUGGAGGUCUGGAUUUGGAGUCACACUCAAAAUUAAAGUGGAAAACCACACUACAGGCUGAUCGGACUUUGAUGUAAUGUCCUUAAAACAAGUCAAAAUGAGGCUCAGUAGUGUGUGUGGCCUCCACGUGCCUGUAUGACCUCCCUACAACGCCUGGGCAUGCUCCUGAUGAGGUGGCGGAUGGUCUCCUGAGGGAUCUCCUCCCAGACCUGGACUAAAGCAUCCGCCAACUCCUGGACAGUCUGUGGUGCAACGUGGCGUUGGUGGAUGGAGCGAGACAUGAUGUCCCAGAUGUGUUCAAUUGGAUUCAGGUCUGGGGAACGGGCGGGCCAGUCCAUAGCAUCAAUGCCUUCCUCUUGCAGGAACUGCUGACACAUUCCAG
rnacentral:lncRNA from 8 species